CAGCAGCCGCGGUAAUACGAAGGGUGCAAGCGUUACUCGGAAUUACUGGGCGUAAAGCGUGCGUAGGUGGUGGUUUAAGUCCGUUGUGAAAGCCCUGGGCUCAACCUGGGAAUUGCAGUGGAUACUGGAUCACUAGAGUGUGGUAGAGGAUAGUGGAAUUUCCGGUGUAGCAGUGAAAUGCGUAAAUAUCGGGAGGAACAUCAGUGGCGAAGGCGGCCCCCUGGACAAAGACUGACGCUCAGGUGCGAAAGCGUGGGGAGCAAACAGGAUUAGAUACCCCUGUAGUCCCUGUCUCUUAUAC
rnacentral:rRNA from 1 species